AUCAAAAAAUUAUUUGCUUUGACUUCAGAGGAAAAAAUCAACCUGCUUAUAGAUACUGAGUCCCCAGAAGAUACUUUUGCAUGUCGACGUUGGAUCGCGUUGAGGGCAAUGUUGCCAUUAGGUAUGCUUUCAUGAUAUGAUAUUGACAAGACGAACGAAUUGCCGACGAGAGCGAAGGCGUGCUUCGAUCCGGCGACGGAGAAGGUCCGGAGAUCCGAGGGCGAGCAGAAGGCGAAGUUGGAGUACGCGAGGUCUUUGGCCGGCGUGUUGGUGACGAUCAUCGUCGCCAUCGAUCCGAACCCCGAUGAUGAUCUCCCCGCCAUUUCUGGAAGAUCGAUGAAAGCUUCGAAUUUUUUUUUUUUUUUUUCCCCGUGCGGUUUGGUUGGAAGGGUCUGAGAGAUGGCGGUGAAAUUACGGGUGUUUAUUCACGGCUGAGCCGGUGGACGGGUGGAGGCCCGAGGCUGGAUGCAGGUGUGAGAAAAUAAAAUAAAAAAAAAAAUUCGAUCGCUUGUUUUGAAAAUUUAACGAAUUUUCGAAGAUUUUUUUCAAACUUAUUUUAUUUAGAAGACAAGUUAAUUUGAGAUGAGCUUCAAUUGAACUACACAUGAAUUGAUCUCGAGCGACUUGAAUUUUUUUUUGUUUUUCAU